rnacentral:lncRNA from 13 species
CCCCCCCCCCCGUCCAUCAAUAAUGACAACCUGUCAGGAUUCUAAGCCAACAUGGCCACUGGUGUGCACACGUCCAGUACAUAGUGUAUUAGGUACACCACCCCGUUCACGCUCCUACAGACAGUGAGUCACGUGGCCGUGGCUCGCUCUAUAAAGCAGGCAGACAGGCAUCCAGGCAUUCAGUUACUGUUGGAUUUAACAUUAGAACGGGCAAAACUAGUGACCUAAGCGACUGAGUGUGAUCGUCGGUGCAGGCGCACCGGUUCCAGAAUAUCAGAAACGGCCUCCUGGGCUUUUCACGUACGACAGUGUCUCAGGGUUUACAGAGAAUGGCGUGACGAAAAGAGAAAACAACCAUCCAGUCAGCGGCAGUCCUGUGGGUGAAAACAGCUCGUUUGACGAGAGGUCGAAGGUCAAUGGCAAGAAUGGUGCACGCUAAAAAGCCCGGCCACAAACAGAUAACAAAUAACGGCGCACUACAACAGCGGUGUGCAGAACGACAUCUCGGAACGCACAACUCGUCGGUACUUGUCAGGGAUGGGUUAUUGCAGCAGACGACCACACCGGGUUCCACUCCUAUCAGAUAAAUACAAGAAAAACAAGAAGCGGCUCAAGGUGGGCACGAGACCAAACAGGUUUCAAGCAGACCGCCGUAGUGCCUGUGCCCAAGAACACUAAGGUAACCUGCCUAAAGGACUACCGACCCGUAGCACUCACGUCUGUAGCCAUUAAGUGCUUUGAAAGGCUAGUAAUGGCUCACAUCAACACCAUUAUCCCAGAAACCCUAGACCCACUCCAAUUUGCAUACUGCCCCAACAGAUCCAUAGAUGAUGCAAUCUCUAUUGCACUCCACACUGCCCUUUCCCACCUGGACAAAAGGAACACCUAUGUGAGAAUGCUGUUCAUUGACUACAGCUCAGCGUUCAACACCAUAGUGUCCUCAAAGCUCAUCAAUAAGCUAAGGAUCCUGGAACUAAACACCUCCCUCUGCAACUGGAUCCUGGACUUCCUGAUGGGCUGCCCCCAGGUGGUAAGUGUAGGUAACAACACAUCCGCCACGCUGAUCUGGAGGAGGUUGUGUCAACGGUACAGGCUGGUGGUGUCAACGGUACAGGCUGGUGGAGGUGGUGUCAACGGUACGGGCUGGUGGAGGUGGUGUCAACGGUACGGGCUGGUGGAGGUGGUGUCAACGGUA